rnacentral:rRNA from 1 species
GUCCACGCCCUAAACUAUGUCAACUGGUUGUCGGGGGAUUAAUUCCCUUGGUAACGAAGCUAACGCGUGAAGUUGACCGCCUGGGGAGUACGGCCGCAAGGUUAAAACUCAAAGGAAUUGACGGGGACCCGCACAAGCGGUGGAUUAUGUGGAUUAAUUCGAUGCAACGCGAAAACCUUACCUACCCUUGACGAUGCUAGGAAGCUCGCAGAGAUGUGAGUGUGCCCGAAAGGGAACCUAGACACAGGUGCUGCAUGGCUGUCGU